UACGUAGGGUGCAAGCGUUAAUCGGAAUUACUGGGCGUAAAGCGUGCGCAGGCGGUUUUGUAAGUCUGUCGUGAAAUCCCCGGGCUUAACCUGGGAAUGGCGAUGGAGACUGCAAGGCUAGAGUUUGGCAGAGGGGGGUAGAAUUCCACGUGUAGCAGUGAAAUGCGUAGAGAUGUGGAGGAACACCGAUGGCGAAGGCAGCCCCCUGGGCUAACACUGACGCUCAGGCACGAAAGCGUGGGGAGCAAACAGG
rnacentral:rRNA from 1 species